GGGGAAUAUUGCACAAUGGGGGAAACCCUGAUGCAGCAACGCCGCGUGAAGGAAGAAGGUCUUCGGAUUGUAAACUUCUUUAGUCAGGGACGAAGAAAGUGACGGUACCUGAAGAAUAAGCCACGGCUAACUACGUGCCAGCAGCCGCGGUAAUACGUAGGUGGCGAGCGUUGUCCGGAAUUACUGGGUGUAAAGGGCGUGUAGGCGGGAAUGUAAGUCAGAUGUGAAAUCCCAGGGCUCAACCCUGGAGCUGCAUCUGAAACUAUGUUUCUUGAGUGUCGGAGAGGAAAGCGGAAUUCCUAGUGUAGCGGUGAAAUGCGUAGAUAUUAGGAGGAACACCAGUGGCGAAGGCGGCUUUCUGGACGAUAACUGACGCUGAGGCGCGAAAGCGUGGGGAGCAAAC
rnacentral:rRNA from 1 species